rnacentral:lncRNA from 1 species
GAAUGAUGGUUUUAGAAAUGGUUGGUCGAAGAAAGAACAUCAAAGUUGAAGUGGAUUGUUCUAGCGAGUUAUAUUUUCCACACUACAAGCGUCUUGAAUUGAAUCAGGAUCUUGGACUCAGGUGUAUUAAAAAUGAAAUUGAUGAAGAAAUGGUAAGAAAAAUGACAGUGGUGAGUUUAUGGUGUAUACAAACUGACCCUUUGCAUCGACCAGCAAUGCAUAAAGUUUUGGAAAUGUUGGAAGGGAGCGUCCAAAUGCUGGAAAUACCACCCAAACCCUUCCUGUCUUCUCCUUCAACAUCUUCAAUCCAUUUAUUAUCUGAAAUAUUAUGAUAUGUGUGGAUAUUAAGAUGCAAUGCAGAGUUUGUAACACUAGAAAAGAAUGUCAUGAUAAUUCGAAUAUAAAUAAAAAUUGAUGUAUCUAAUUGAAUUGUAAUGUUGUAACAUUUCUUUUGGUUUAUGUUUUAUGAAUAGGCUGUUAACACAUAUCCUUAUUAUUUCAUUCAUCACUACAAUUUUAUUUCCCUUCAGAUUACUAUUAUUUCAUUUAUAUCAACAUUUAUAGGAGAUAUUUUCUUAGUUUUAUAAUGAGAUAUACACUUUUAAUAUUGCAUUACACAAACAUAAUAUUCUAUGACACUACUUUCUCAACCUAAAUGUUUCUUCCUAAUUCGAAUAAUUUAUCCAGUUGUUACAGUAGUAGCUCUAUUGCUACUAGCUGUCAAGAAUCACAAGAUCUACUAUACAAGAUGGAAGGGUAAAAAUCCAACCAAUCUAGUCAUUGAGGUAUUUUUGAAGAAACAUGGAUCCCUUCAAACCAAGAGGUAUUGCACUAUUGCUACUCUGAGAUAAAGAAAGUAACCAACUCCUUCAAAAAUAAAUUAGGCCAAGGGGAUUCGGCAGUGUAUACUGUUGGAUAUUUUAUAAAUAAUUUAUUUUAAAGUUAAUUAUUUUAUAAUGAAUAAAUUAAUAAAUUUAUUUUAGACCAAGUUAUAACAUUUUGUCAAGUACACGUUUAUCUUUUAACUCCUAUUUACUUGGUUUUCAAUCAUAAUUAAUAGGAUUUGCGGUUAUAGUUGGAACAUUAUUAUUUUUAUUAAUUAGAGCAUAUGAAUAUAUGAUGUAGAGGCAUAUAUAUGAUAGUGGUACGGGAGAGGUUUAGAACAAUGAGAAUGAGAUAUGAAAUAAAAAGAAGUGAUAAAAAGCAUAACACAGUUUUCUCCUCUCCUGAUACAAUUGAGUUCCUUUUUCCUGGGUGCAUUUCCUGUUAUUAUUUUCUUGCUAGUUCUGUUACCUUGGAUAUGAUCCAUAUUCAGGAAGAACCUGUUGAAUUCUGGGGAAUUUGCGCUUAUGAGGCGGAUAAAUGCUUAAGGACAGUGCGAUCAGCACGCCUCAGGUAUUGUAUCAUAGUUCACUAUUUUGCAGGUUUAUGAUUAUGUGGUUGUUUACUAUGCGAAUGACAUCAAACUACUACAUCACAAGAGAUAAGUUCCUAUGAACUCUAUUUUAAUUUAUUCUCUAUAAUAUUUGUUGAAUUACUUAAAUUAAUAUAUGGUUAAAUAUUGUGAUUAGGUCCAAUUUUUACAACAUAUACAAAGGACAGUUAGAUGAUGGACGUUAUGUUGCAGUGAAAAUCCUAAAUGAAUUGAAGGAUAGUGGUGAGGAAUUCAUGAAUGAAAUUGCAAGUAUCUGCGAAAGUUCUCAUGUUAACAUUGUUAAUCUUCUUGGGUUCUGUUUGGAAGGUUCCAAACGAGCUUUAGUUUACGAGUUUAUGCAUAAUGGCUCUUUUGAGAAGUUUAUCUUUGAGGAAAAUGACCAUAUUCCAGAUUUCCAAUUGGACUGCCAAACUUUGUAUCACAUCGCAAUUGGUGUAGCUCGAGGGCUAGAAUACCAGCACAAAGGCUGUAAUCUUAGAAUAUUACAUUUUGACAUAAAACCUCAUAACAUUCUUUUGGACAAGAAUUUCAACCCCAAAAUUUCAGAUUUUGGACUUGCAAAGAUUUGUGCAAGAAAAGAAAGUAUGGUAUCAAUGGUAUCGAUAUUUGGUGCCAGAGGAACGACGGGAUAUAUUGCCCCCGAGGUAUUUUCUAGGAAUUUUGGUGCAGUGUCACAUAAGUCUGAUGCGUACAGUUAUGGAAUGAUGGUUAUGGAAAUGGUUGGAAGGAGAAAAAAUAUUAACACUGAAGUUGACCGAUCGAGUGAAAUAUAUUUUCCUCAUUGGAUUUACAAUCGUCUUGAUUCUAAUCAAGAUCUUGGUCUGCGGAAUAUAAGAAAUGAAAUGGAUGACGAAAAGGUGAGAAAGAUGACAAUAGUAGAGUUGUUGCAAAUGCCAUCUAAACCCUUUUUGUCUUCUCCUUCAAACUCUCAUGUCCAUUUCUUAAGUGAGACACAGACCAUAGAGUCCGUGAGAAUGCUAGAUGCAGAACAACUGGAGCAUUCCAGCUAGUGCAAAAAGCAAAGAUGACAGAAAUUAAUUUCAACUAUAUAUACUGAUGUAUUGAUAAGGGAUGUACAGUAUAGCUUUACUUAUAAUUCCUCUAUUCAUAAAAAUAGGAGUUUUUUCCGCACAACCUAAUUGUUAGAGUUGGAGGGUUAAGAUCAUUGUGAGGUAGAUCCUUUUGUAUAGUAGUUACUAGUUAUGUUAUUUAAUGUGCCAUCAAAUUCAGAAUAAUCUUGAUUAACUAUGCAGCACUCCAACUUCCUAAUCUCUACUUAUGGAUUAAAAAAUUCAUUCAACUCUGAAUGCAGGAGUUGUUAAACAUGUACUUUUUUCCAAUGUCUUUUUGGAUCAUACUCUUGUCUUUGUUUUCUAUUUUAAUUUUUUCUGCUUAGGGGAUUGUAUAAAAAGAUACUUAUUUUUAAUAAUUUACAGAACUAAUUUGAUUGUUAACAAAUAAUUUUAAAAAUGAUUUGUUUUACAUAUUUUUCAUUUUCCUUUAAAUUUAAAAAUAAUAAUAAUAAUAAUAAAUAAAUAAAUAAAUAAAUAUCUUAUGGUGACGGAAUGCAGUGUGGAAAAUGCAGAGUAAAAGCAUAGAAAAUUGCAAUGUGGAAAAUGGUACCAAGAUUGAUUUGUCAUAGUCCAAGUCAACUAAGCAUCUCAAUCAUUCAUGUAGUGUAUGGUGAAGAAUGAAUUAAGACUUUGCUAACUUUAUAAUUUUGUAUUGUACCUCACACAUAUAUUGGAUUAUGGACUAUGAUUAAUCUACAUCUCUUUUUCAUCAAGUCUUCCUCCUUCAUUUUCCAUGUCAACUGCGUAUCGAAUAAGUUCUCCAUUUAGACCACUUGAUUCAUGCAUGACACCAAUACAUAUCUAUUUGUGAACAUAAUGUCUGUAACAACUCGCACUACUUUUAACCUUCAAUACAUCAAUAAGUUGGGAUGGCUCCAGUUGAUUUGUUCUGCUUCCUCUUGUAUUUUUCCCAUAAAAANNNNNNNNNNNNNNNNNNNNNNNNNNNNNNNNNNNNNNNNNNNNNNNNNNNNNNNNNNNNNNNNNNNNNNNNNNNNNNNNNNNNNNNNNNNNNNNNNNNNNNNNNNNNNNNNNNNNNNNNNNNNNNNNNNNNNNNNNNNNNNNNNNNNNNNNNNNNNNNNNNNNNNNNNNNNNNNNNNNNNNNNNNNNNNNNNNNNNNNNNNNNNNNNNNNNNNNNNNNNNNNNNNNNNNNNNNNNNNNNNNNNNNNNNNNNNNNNNNNNNNNNNNNNNNNGAAUUGUGAUGUUGUAACAUUUCUUUUUGGUUUAUAUUUUAUGAGUAGGCUGUUAACACAUCUUUAUUAUUGCAUUUAUGCUUCAAUUUUAUCUCCCUGCAGAUUACUAUAUGAUUUCAUUUUGUCUUCAGCCUAACUUAUUUUGGUUUGCUUCAUAGUUCAAACAGAUGAAUUAGGUACACUUUUUUCGCCUUUCUGCAUUAUACAAUUAUUGCAAUAUCACACAAACAAUAGGAUGUUUCUUAAGCUCUGUGGUUUUUAGAGGCUAACUAUUGUCAUUGACUGAUAUGCAAGGCAAAGUUCUUUGCCUUUUUUUUUUACUAGGUAAAUGAAUGACAUGCUAUUAAGAACUGUAAAUAUAAAAACUGCAUGCAAGUUAUUUUCAAUACAAAAUUUAUCUUUUUUGGUUUCUUUAUUAUAAAUUGCGAGCUACUGUGAUGUUUUCCUUUAACUGUCUUAAUAGCAUGCCAGCAAUUAUGAGCCUAUGCUUAUAAUGCUGCCUUUUUAGUGAUUAAAACCUAAAAUUUGAACUGUGACUCAACUCAUUGUCUUAACCUUAAUAGUAGUACUACUCUAACAUCAUUUUGUUUUAGUGGCAUGAAUACUGGGACUCAACUGAUUCUCCUUGAUGCUACUUCAUAGGUAUAUACAAUAAAGUACCUAAAACUAAACAAGCAUUUUCGACGGAUUUUCGAUUUAAAUUACUAAUGUAUGAUGUAUCUCCAAAUACUUAUAAAUGCAUUGUUAAAUAAAUCCAAAUUCAACCCAAAUCAUAAAAAAUUAACCAAAAAACAAUAUAAGUAUACAAAAAUUCUGAAAAAACCUUGAGAUAAUAUUGAUAAAAUUGUUCAUCAAAACAAAUACACUCAAUUGUUAAAAGUAAUGAAUGAUUGCAACAACCUUAUGGAAGUAGGAUUCAAAAGAAAAAACCUUGUAAAAGUAAAUUUCUCAGUGGAGAGGACCUUUGUGGUUGAGCAAGUCAAUUAGUCAACCAUGUAAAAAGUUGAAACUUACUUUUUCUAAUUUCUUGGUGAAAUUCUGUUAUCCAACUCCAAUACCCUCCUUCUAGAACUAGAAACAUUCUCCAAAAUGAACAAAAAAAGCCCUUUGUUUGUCCUCAAUCCCUUCUCUUCUCCCUUGAUUUAUUCAUACAUUACCCUCUUCUAUUUCCUUACCAGAACCACUUUAUGCUAUGCACAACCAAAUUUUACAGCUUGUGAACCCAAAACAUGUGGCAACCAAACAAUAAGAUACCCUUUCUACAUCAAAGGAACACAAGAACCUUUUUGUGGCUACCCUGGCUUUGGUAUCUCUUGUGACAAUAAUACUGGUUUUCCAAUCCUUAAUCUUACCGAUGCAUUAUAUAUAAUUGACCAGAUUUUCUAUGAAAAUCAAUCAUUAAGAGUUUCAAAUGUUGUUUUUUCAAGAUCAAAUAUCAACAAAGAUUGUCUUUCACCUACCCAAAUCCUCACUUUUCCUAUUAACUUGUUCAAUCUUGCACAAAACCANNNNNNNNNNNNNNNNUCUGUUGAAUUGGAUAGCUGCUGAUUGUAGAGAGUGUUACGACAGUGGAGGGAGGUGUGGUUUUAAUUCAUCUAUAUAUAGUUUCAGAUGUUACUGUACUGAUAGAGUUCAUGCUGCAAAAUGUGAUUCAGGUUUGUGUCUCUUUCUCGAAAUUGCAAUUUGCAACGAUGUGAGAGCUAAAUUGUUGAAUGAUUGUUUGAUCAUAUACACGUAAAAUUGAUGGUGUUGAAAAUGAAAAGCUUUACGUAUAUUACAACAAUUUUAGUCAACUUUAUUCAUAAUUUUUCUUAAAAUAAAUUUUGGUCAAACUGUAUUUACUAAUAUUUAUUGAUCAAAUUCCAUGUUACAACACCUCUUCUCUAAGAAAGAACAAUGAAUACUUAGUUGGUUUAGUGGUGAUUGACGCUGAACUUGGUAGGGAGGACGACUGUUCGAUCCCGCAACUACGAUCAGAAGGGGGCUGGAAUCACUUGAUGCCAGAACGGACCCCGAACCAGAUUCAACAAAAAGAAAGAUCAAUCUUUUAACUCAAAAUAAACUAACAAAAAAGUCUAAAAUAAUGAAUUAUUUUGAAUAAAAAACACCUAUGCAAGUCUCUAUUGAAGUAUUUAACUUUUUAUUUGCAUUUUGUCCCUUUUGCAGUGAAGUCCCAGUCGAUGCAUACAGUGACAAUAGGUAAAUGUUUUAGAUUAAAUUAAUCGUAAAAAAACAAUUGUUGAUUAAAUUCAAUUAUUUACUUUUAUCUUAUACUAAAAAUAUGAUAUGAAUUCAAUAAAUUGGUGAUUAUUUUCUUGCUUACCCUAAACAUUUUGAUGUUGUAUCAAACAAAAAUGUCCAGUGGCCUCGGUGACUGGAGUUGCAUUUGCCUUGCUGAUAGUCUUAGUUUGCUGGUUUAGGAAAAAGAUAUUCCCUCCCACAUUUCUUUUGUUCAGGAAGGAGAAUCCAACCCAUCAAAUUAUUGAGAAGUUUUUGAAGGAACGUGGACCUCUUCCAGCUGCUAGGUACAAUUAUUCAGAUAUCAAGAAAAUAACAAACUCUUUCAAAUACAAAUUAGGUCAGGGAGGGUAUGGAAGUGUAUACAAAGGGAAGUUACACGAUGAGUGUAUAGUGGCGGUGAAGGUUUUAAAUGAAUCAAAAGGUGACGGUGAAGAUUUCAUUAAUGAAGUUGCGAGUAUUAGUAGAACUUCGCAUGUCAACAUUGUUAGACUUUUGGGGUUUUGUUUGGAUGGUUCUAAAAAGGCACUAAUAUACGAAUUUAUGCCUAAUGGAUCUCUUGAAAAGUUUAUAUACCAAACGAAAAAUCCAUUGAAGGAGGAACGUCAAUUGGAUUGCAAAACGUUGUAUGAUAUUGCAGUUGGCGUUGCUCGUGGGUUAGAGUACUUGCACAGAGGCUGCAAUACUAGAAUUUUGCAUCUUGACAUAAAACCUCAUAAUAUAUUACUAGAUGAUGAUUUUUGUCCUAAAAUUUCAGAUUUUGGACUUGCUAAAAUAUGUCCACGAAAAGAAAGUAUUGUAUCCAUAGUUGGUGCAAGGGGAACACCAGGAUAUAUUGCUCCAGAGUUGUUCUCCAGAAAUUUUGGCGGGGUGUCACAUAAAUCAGAUGUCUACAGUUAUGGAAUGAUGGUUUUAGAAAUGGUUGGUCAAAGAAAUAACAUUAAGGAGGAAGUUGAUUGUUCUAGUGAAUUAUAUUUUCCACACUGGAUUUACAAGCGUCUUGAAUUGAAUCAGGAUUUUGGACUAAGGUGUAUUAAAAGUGAAACUGAUGAAGAAAUGGUAAGAAAAAUGACAGUGGUGAGCUUAUGGUGCAUACAAACUGACCCUUCGCAUCGACCAGCAAUGCAUAAAGUAGUCGAAAUGUUAGAAGGGAGCGUCCAAGUGCUGGAAAUACCACCGAAACCUUUUCUGUCUUCUCCUUCAACAUCUUCAAUUCAUUUAUCAUUUGAAAUAUUGUGAUUUGUGUGGAAAUUAAGAUUCAAUGUAGAGUAUGUAGCACUAGAAAAGAAUGUCAUGGUAAUUAACGUAUAAAUAAAAAGUUAUGUAUAGAAUUGGAAUAUUAGUUGCAUAAUUAGGUUUGUUUUAUGAGUAGGUUGUUAUAUACUAUCAUGUAUCCUUAUUAUUGCAUUUAUCACCACAAUUUGAUUUUUUGUGUUUGACUUUGAUUAAUAAAGUUGAUCAGAGAUUAUCCUGAAGGCAAAAAGUAAUGUUGAGAUUCUAAGUUUUCAGUGAUUGACUGGUAUGCUCUUAAGAACAGCAAAAAAUAUAAAAACCUUGCAUGGGCAAGAAAGCUAGAGAUGUAAUUUCUUCAAAUAUAGGAAAUAUUUUAGUCCUUAUCCUGUCAUUAUCCUAUAUCAUGGCGCUAAAUGUUGAUGAUAGGCAGUUUCUUGUCCCAAUUAAUUGUGCGCGUAUACUAUACUGUUGAUUGUUUUGUUUUAGUGGCAUGAAGACUUGGAGUCAACUCACUUUUCUUUGAUAGGCAACCUCUUGUAUGUGUAAAGUAUCUAAAACCAAAGAAGUGCUUAGACUUGGUGUGUAUUUAUGUUGAGAAGAUGAAUUGUGAUUCAGCGAGGCUUAAUUAAACAGUAAAAAACAAUUGUUUAUUAUAUAUGAAGAAAACCCAUACUCCAUCAUCAAGAAUAAAAAUAUAAGCAAAAUUCCACCAAAUUAAGCAUAUUAAGAAAAGUAGUUAAUUCCAUAUAAUCAAUAAAAUUUCAAUAAGAAAUUAAGUCUAUAGCCUAAAAUUUACUUCAAGUCUUGACUGAACAGUUCAAACUCCAAGUCAACAAUGAUUGCAACAACCACAAAACUUAAUCAUAUAUUGCUUGCUUUCCAUUAUUAAUGCAUUGCUUCCUUUCUCAUGCUUAAUUAUCUUCCCCUGAUCACAAUUCAUAACAUUAGUCGUAAUGUCUUGGCUUUUCAUUUUCAAAUCAUUAAUUUUCUCCCUGCUUAUGCUUCAUGUUUCAGCUCAAGAUGAUGGAAGAUGUCCAACCUCUUUUAGUUGUGGACAUAUUGGCAAUAUUACUUUCCCGUUCACAGUUACACUGUGGAAUAUUGGCCAUAAGUGGUUGUGAUAAUAAAAAUAUAUCUGCUACCAAAACCAUCCAACUAGGCAAGACGCCAUCAAAACAGUUUAUUCCUGUUUUAUCUGUGGAUGGUGAUACCAUCACGGUCACAGAUGAAGCUCAACAAAAUAAUUUGUUAUCCAAAAAAUGCCAAUCCUUUAACAAUUAUCCCAUUCCUCCCACUUCUCCUUUAGCUUCUUUCUACAUCAAAUAUAAUAUAACUAUGUUCAAAUGCAAUCACUCCCUUAGUGUCACCACUCCCAAAUUAUUUGUCAAAUAUACAAACAUCAAAUAUAAGACUUUGCUAACUUUAUAAUUUUGUAUUGUACCUCACACAUAUAUUGGAUUAUGGACUAUGAUUAAUCUACAUCUCUUUUUCAUCAAGUCUUCUUCCUUCAUUUUCCAUGUCAACUGCGUAUCGAAUAAGUUCUCCAUUUAGACCACUUGAUUCAUGCAUGACACCAAUACAUAUCUAUUUGUGAACAUAAUGUCUGUAACAACUCGCACUACUUUUAACCUUCAAUACAUCAAUAAAGUUGGGAUGGCUCCAGUUGAUUUGUUCUGCUUCCUCUUGUAUUGUCACUUCACGCUGAUUUUAUCAGCAGGGCAUGGAAGCGGGUACCAAUAUAACUGUCCACGCUCAUUCAGUUGUGGAUUUCGUGGGACUUUACGUUACCCUUUCACCAAGGCAGAACAACCAGACUGUGGCUCCAUACUGAUAAAUGGCUGUGAAAUGGUAAGAAAAUGAAAUUGAUGAAGAAAUGGUAAGAAAAAUGACAGUGGUGAGUUUAUGGUGCAUACAAACCGACCCUUCACAUCGGCCAGCAAUGCAUAAAGUGGUGGAAAUGUUGGAAGGGGGCCUUCAAGUGCUGGAAAU